rnacentral:lncRNA from 1 species
UAUGCGUGUAUAGCUGUGACUUUCACAUCACGGUAGAGAAACAUAGGCGAUAACUUCGAACACAACCUUCAGGCUUUCAUUGAGAGCAUAGAUUCUAUAGCAACGAAAUAACAUUGUCUGAUGUUUGACCACAAGUACUAGAAAAUUUGACUCCCUGAAAAUUCAAGAUGC